CAGCCGCCACGGUAAUACGUAGGGUGCAAGCGUUAAUCGGAAUUACUGGGCGUAAAGCGCACGCAGGCGGUUUGUUAAGUCAGAUGUGAAAUCCCCGAGCUUAACUUGGGAACUGCAUUUGAAACUGGCAAGCUAGAGUCUUGUAGAGGGGGGUAGAAUUCCAGGUGUAGCGGUGAAAUGCGUAGAGAUCUGGAGGAAUACCGGUGGCGAAGGCGGCCCCCUGGACAAAGACUGACGCUCAGGUGCGAAAGCGUGGGGAGCAAACAGGAUUAGAUACCCCUGUAGUCCCUGUCUCUUAUAC
rnacentral:rRNA from 1 species